rnacentral:rRNA from 1 species
GACGAACGCUGGCGGCGUGCUUAACACAUGCAAGUCGAACGGAAAGGCCCUGCUUUUGUGGGGUGCUCGAGUAGCGAACGGUUGAGUAACACGAGUGUAACCUGCCCUUGACUUUGGGAUAACGUCAGGAAGCUGGGGCUAAUACCGGAUAGGAGCUCCUGCUGCAUGGUGGGGGUUGGAAAGGUUCGGCGGUUGGGGAUGGACUCGCGGCUUAUCAGCUUGUUGGUGAGGUAGUGGCUUACCAAGGCUUUGACGGGUAGCCGGCCUGAGAGGGUGACCGGCCACAUUGGGACUGAGAUACGGCCCAGACUCCUACGGGAGGCAGCAGUGGGGAAUAGUGCACAAUGGGCGGAAGCCUGAUGCAGCAACGCCGCGUGCGGGAUGACGGCCUUCGGGUUGUAAACCGCUUUCGCCUGUGACGAAGCGUGAGUGACGGUAAUGGGUAAAGAAGCACCGGCUAACUACGUG